CGUCAAUAAAGGUCAACGCAGAACAAGCUUGGCAAGUUGCAAAGGCUAAUUUGUAAUGUAAUUACAGGAGUAAUGAAAAGUGCUCCGUCGAAAGCCUUAGAUGCAAUUCUGCAUCUAUUACCACUCCACCAGGUAGUGCAACUAGAGGCGGAAGAAAGUGCAUUGAAAUUAACACGCCUCAAAAAUAUACCUGAUGGAGAUUAGACAGGCCAGCUGGCAAUCCUCAAACAUUUCCAGCUGAGCAAACAUAUACCAGGUAUCGAAAACUGGAUGAAUACAGAAGCAAACUUCGAAAUACCUUUCAAAAUCAUAGAGACCGAACGGGAAGUUUGGGAACAAGGUGGCCCGAACAUCCGACAAGGCUCUGUCGUCUUUUACACAGAUGGAUCAAAAAUGAAUGAUUCAACCGGAGCAGGUAUAAAUGGUCCAGGGAUAAGUAUCUCGAUACCAAUGGGCCGUUGGCCUACAGUGUUCCAGGCCGAAAUAUUUGCAAUUUAUGAAUGUGCACAAGUCUGUUUGGCUAGAAAAUACAGGCAUGCUAACAUAUGCAUUUUUUCUGAUAGCCAAGCAGCACUUAACGCACUAAAAGCCUUCACAUGUACCUCUAAGCUAGUAUGGGAGUGCAUCCUUUUACUGAAACAACUGGCAGAAAGGAACCAAGUAUGGUUAUACUGGGUUCCUGGUCACUGCGGAGUGGAAGGCAAUGAAAAAACCGAUACCUUGCUAGACAGGGGUCAUGUACCGAUUUCAUUGGCCCAGAACCGUUUUGUGGGGUAUCAUCAAGCACCUCGAAAGCAGAAUUGGAAACCUGGGAACAUAGGACAAUACAAGAGAACUGGAUAUGCUCAGUAGGGCUACGCCAGUCUAAACGCUUUAUAAAACCAAGCGUGAAAAAAACCCAGCAAUUGCUUAGUUUAAAUAAAAAGGGACUAAGGACAAUUGUCUCGCGUCGUCGCGGUAAGGACAAUUACUGGAUUGUUUACAGGACACUGUCCAAAUAGGCAUCACCUGGAACAAAUUGGUCAGUCAGAUGACGAAAUUUGUCGUCUCUGCGGGUUCGAAUGUGAAACCGCAAAAGAUUUGCUCUGCCACUGCAGUGCACUAAUACAGCGCAGAAUAAGAGCCUUUAGAAAAGGAACUUUGAAGCCUUUUGAGGUCUGGUCUGCAAAUCCUAAUGAGGUAAUAUAUUUCAUACGAACUUCAGUGCCUAAUUGGGAGAAAGGGUGCGAUAUGACAACGACGAUCACUUCCAUCAAUAGUGAUAUGUCUGCCACGAGUACCCAAACUAAAGAAGAGGUAUACCAUAAAAGAUCAAAAUAAUGGUCGCAGUGGUCCAAAUCUUACAAAAAAAAUAUUGUGCAAAACAAACCCCUUUCAUUAUAUAUUGUAAAAUUUGAUCGUAGUAGGCCUGACACUAAAAAAAUUUUUAAAAAAGUUAUUUUUUGUAGGAAAGUAGCUUAAAAGUUUAGUUGCCGCGAUUUGCCACGGUUGUGACUACAUUGAAAAUUUAGGUAAAAACGUAGGCUUUCUAAUGCAUACUGUCCGCUGUAGCGCAAAACUGCGCAAAUUAUCACUUAAGCGAAAAACGAUAGCAGAUUUUUUUAUUUUUUUUACUUUUGAAGUUGAAAUUUCAUCCAGGAUUAAUUUUAAUCAUAACUAUGAUACCCCAUUAAUGAAAAUUUAUGAUAUCGAACUCAAUCCGAAAGGAUAUAAUAUAAAUUUGGGCGAAAUCACAAAAUUUAUCAAUAAGAAGCUAUAAUGUCCAAUUUAUCCGAUUUGCUUCACACGAAAUAACCAAAACAACCCGCGGCGAUGGUGAUUCACAACUUUCGAUUGCCUUUUCAUUUUAGCAAAUCGAGUAGCACGAAAGUUUUUUAUUUAACAGUUUACUAAAAAACAAAUCUUCGGCUUAUUCGAUUAAAAAAAAAAACAAUUUACAUAAAACAGCAGAAUAACGAGAAGAAACUACCGGCGCCGGCGAUUCGUAAAGCGAUACGUACAGCGAUUCGCAACUUUUGACUGACGUUUGCGAACGAGAGCAAAAAGAAUACGGAUACGCAUACGUAUGUAAACAAGAAUGACACGUUCGUACGAAAGCAACGAUGUUCGAAAGCUCGAAUUGGUUAGAACGAAUCGGAUUCGUAUGUGUUCGUAUCGCAUUCGUACGCCGCUGCUGCUUUCGUACGAAAGCGAUACGGCCGUAAACAAGAAUAAGGGUGAAAGUUUCUUUUCUAGUGAAGUGUUGAAUGAUGAAAAAAUUUGCUGAAAUCGUUGCCAGAUAUUUGGAUCGUUUUGUUAGUGCUAUCAGCAAUAUCCUUUAAGCCAGUAAACUCAGUUGAAACGUCAUACUAGAUUAUUCCCCCACGAAAACGGCGAAAGUUUAUACGUUUAACCCAACGAACAAGCAAAGUUGUUGCAUCACUGAUUGACGACAGACCGAUGUCAUGGCAACUGUUUCCUGAAGCUGCCGCCGAUGAUGAUGACGCACUAGGUUGAAAAUAUGAUCAUAAGCUCCGUUCAUUGUGCCGCAUGUGUUACUGUACAGAUUUUUUUCGUGCUUCUAACUAUAUUGAAUUUAGGGCUAUCCAGAACGUGUUGAAACAUGUUUGAACAUGAGCAUUCGUGUCCUGCACAAAAUCCAUAGAACGUUUAAAACAAAACAGUCGUUCUUCGCUUUUUGCAUUCCUACACACCACUUGCAGCAACAGUUGAUCUCGCAUGGACGGCGCUUAUUCGGCUGUUUCGCAAGCGCUGACAGCCUUUUGACGGAUAAUCGAGCCAGAGAAAAACGGCUUCAAGCAAAAUGUAUGGGGAUGACGUUCGUGACAGGGAUGUGAUUGACGAUGGCUUAUUAAAAUUUACAAGGCAGGUCUAAAAGGCAAAAUGACCUAUUUCAGUGAUCAGGAUGCAGGACCGUUGGCGACACCGAAAUUAUUACAAAAAGAUCCAGCACCGGUUGAAAUACCUCCAAGUACGUCGAUCAUACCAAUAUCAACGUUUUAUGGGGACCAGUGCCGAAGGAGCUGAUUACAGCGGAACGUACCGCUAAUUGUUACGAUUCUCAAAAAAUUGUGAGGAUAUUCCGGCUUGCUUGGUUUGCUGACGAAACCUGCCAUUCGUUUGUUGGGUGUUGACUGGUGGCGCAUUUCAGACAGACAGGGCUUUGAUUUUGAUAAGGAUACAAAAUAAUUACAGAAGGUGAAAAACAGUAUGCCAUCUAACGUGCCACCCACCAUGCCAAUCACAGUAUGUCCAUAUUCAUACAAGGACCACCACCCAUGAACGGCAUUGUCGAAGACAAUUUUUUAAAAUAACCCCCUUCUUUUACGACUUGGUUACCAAUCAAAUUGAAAACCGUGGAACAAUUUUGUCAAUGACGUGGUGGUGGCGGCUUUGGUAGUGGUCGGCGCCACUAAAGCGACUGGAUGAACAAUUAUCGUUGAGGCCUCCGAAAUUCUGCUUGUUAUAGAGCAUAUUUUUCAUAGAGCAUAAUAUAACAGCGCUUAGUAUAUAAAAUGAAAACUAUGCCAAAUGAGCUAACGUCGAAUAUCGACCAUCCUUGGUGUAAAUUAAACUUCACUCACGUUUGAAUAACUUAAAAAAAGCUCAUGUGUUUUGGUAUAGGCUUUAUUCAAAGAAUUGUAGCUCAGAAACCUUUGGUUGUAUAUAAAAACUGUCUGAGAAUGAAUUACAAAUUGACACUAUAAAAAACAUUUUUGACUAACAAAAUUCUUUAUAAAUACUCUUUCUAUUCACGAAGAUAAAAGUUGGUUU